UACGUAGGGUGCGAGCGUUGUCCGGAAUUAUUGGGCGUAAAGGGCUCGUAGGCGGUUUGUCGCGUCGGGAGUGAAAACGCCGUGCUUAACACGGCGCUUGCUUUCGAUACGGGCAGACUAGAGGUAUGCAGGGGAGAACGGAAUUCCUGGUGUAGCGGUGAAAUGCGCAGAUAUCAGGAGGAACACCGGUGGCGACGGCGGUUCUCUGGGCAUUACCUGACGCUGAGGAGCGAAAGCGUGGGGAGCGAACAGG
rnacentral:rRNA from 1 species